ensembl:lncRNA
GUGGUAGCCGGAGUUAUUGGGAGCAGAUGGGAAGGGAUGGUGGAGGGGCAGGGCUGUGGGGGAGGGAGGGGCAACCUAGGGGUAGGAGGAAACCGAAAAGACCCUUACCCAGACCACUGGGGUCCUGAGCCAGUUAUCUGGAUGUUCUCCACGGGACAUUCCUUGGUCCAGGUGACAGGAUUUGCCAGUCCAAAUCAUCGCUCAAUGAGUGGCAGAAAGGGUCAUAUCCCAGAUCGUGCUCCUUGCCUUGUCCUCCUUCUCCCUCUCCUGUUCCGAGAUGGAAGGCGAAGCCAAAUCCCGCUCAUCAGAGAGUCUCCUCCUGCCACACGAUACAUUUCUCCUUCCCAAGGCCCCUCACCCCAUGCUGAGGAGUCAAAAUAACCUGACUGACCCCGCGCCUGCAGGGCCAUUCCCACCUCUGGCAGUCGGCCACCAGCCCCAAGUCUGCGAGAAAAUUUAUCUGAUCUUUGAACUUAGCACUUCCCUGGAGAUAAACCUGGGCAACUGCUAAAGGUAUCAGAGCUGCUGCAGAGUCUGAGAGUCAGGCAUUCGAAGAUUCUGGCCCAUGGCCAAAAUGGAAUGUCUGAAAAUCUACCAAGUGAUCUUCUCUUUGGAAGUCCUUCACCAUCACCACCUCCAUCAUCACUUUUAUAGGCGACAUAGGGUGAUCCCAUGUCUCCAUAUGCCUGGAAUAUUGGGGUUUGCAUAUUAAUAGGCCCUUGUUUGACU